GCCGGGGUGGCUGAGUGGUAAGGCGCAAGCCUGGAGAGCUUGUGUCUCUUUCGGGACGCAAGGGUUCGAAUCCCUUCCCCGGCG
rnacentral:tRNA from 1 species